CAUUAGAUAUCUUAAAUUUAAAGAAUUGAUCUUUUAAAUCAUUUAUAGUAAAUAAUUACUUCUAAUGG
rnacentral:tRNA from 1 species